GACGAACGCUGGCGGCGUGCUUAACACAUGCAAGUCGAACGGAAAGGCCUUUUCGGAGGUACUCGAGUGGCGAACGGGUGCGUAACACGUGGGUGAUCUGCCCUGCACUCUGGGAUAAGCCUGGGAAACUGGGUCUAAUACCGGAUAGGACCGCACUUUAGUGUGUGUGGUGGAAAGUUUUUUCGGUGUAGGAUGAGCCCGCGGCCUAUCAGCUUGUUGGUGGGGUAAUGGCCUACCAAGGCGGCGACGGGUAGCCGGACUGAGAGGUUGGUCGGCCACAUUGGGACUGAGAUACGGCCCAGACUCCUACGGGAGGCAGCAGUGGGGAAUAUUGCACAAUGGGCGCAAGCCUGAUGCAGCGACGCCGCGUGGAGGAUGACGGCCUUCGGGUUGUAAACUCCUUUCGCCAGGGACGAAGCGUUUUGUGACGGUACCUGGAGAAGAAGCACCGGCUAACUACGUG
rnacentral:rRNA from 1 species